UGUAUUUAUAUAUUUAUAUAAAUCCUGAACGCUACUGUAAUCUGACAUUAAUCAUAUUUGUGUAAUUUACCGAAAAAAUAACAUUUGUUACAAUAAAAAAUAGAGAGAA